rnacentral:lncRNA from 1 species
AGAGAACACUGCAUACAAAGUUGGAAAUGAGUCCCCUGUACAAGAAUUGAAACAAGAUGUGUCUAAAAAGGUUGGAAAGAUAUGUCAAUAUUAUUAUAUAGCAGACAUUAUAUUUACAUGGUAUAUUUAAAACAGAAAAUUUCCUACUUUUUUAGUGUAGUACACUAUUCAGAAAUUAUAUCUUGGAUCCAUUGAAUUUGUAAUUGAAGGCACACAGGACUUUUUGUAGGUCAUUUUUACAUUCUAACUAAUUGAUAAUUAUCCUUAAAACAGUAUUUUAUAGAACAUUUUUAUUUUUUCUUCUUAUACUUUAUUAGAAUAAUCUGUAGCUCCUCUUGAAAUUGCCACUGGGCAUUACAGAUAUUGAAAAACUCAGUGCAUCAAAUUCUGAUGUCUUUAGGAAUCAGUUCUUAUUCUGAUAAUAUCUUUGAUACUGUUUAAAGAAUCAGUGCUGUGAGGCUCCAGAAGCUGGUUUCUUAGAAGAGACAGAGCACAAGAUAAAUAUUUUUAGAAUGGACAGUUUUAAAUAUCAGGAUAAAACUCACAGAAAGACUGGAUGUGUGUGUUUACUCAUUUCUACAAGUUCUGAGUUUUUUCCCGUCUCCUAGGCACUGUUAUAGCAAGUGAGUUUUUGAAAGCCAACAAAAUGACACAUUUACUGUUUCUUUAGUUGUAGCUGUAUUAACUUUGGGGGCUGGAUAAUUCAUUGUGUUAGAGGGAAGGGGAAACUGUUGUAUAUAUUGUAGGAUUAUUCUACCUACUGGGAUGCCAGUAGCAUCCACACCCCUACCACCUAGUCAUGACAACCCAAAAUGUCUCCAAGAAUCACCAAAUAUGUGGGGAAAUGCAUAUGGUAAAAUCACCCCUAGUGUGGAUUGUUUUCCCCUUACAGAAUUUACAGAUUUAGUGGACACAUAGUUUAAUGUUGGUCAUACUUUUUCCUUUAAAAGAAAAAAUAAUCCCUUUUGGAAGAAGAUAAUCCAGCCACCUUACAAGUCCUGUGUUAAAAUAAUUAACAAUUAAACGAUGGUGUGCAUACAGGGCUUCUUUCUUUUGGAAGAAGUAGUAGUAUUGUGUACCAGCAUACAAAAUAGGGAUGUAGGGGCUGGGUUGUAGCUCAGUGGUAGCAUGCUUGCCUAGCAUGUGUGAAGUACCGUGUUCAAUUCUCAGCACAGUAUAUAAAUAAAUAAAAUAAAUGUCCAACAACUAAUAUUAAAAAAAAAACAGGGAUGUAACGAUUUUUUAAAGAAUUUUUCAUAGUUCUACACUGUAACAUAUCAGUUGUCAGGAUUCCCUUCUGGUUCUCAUGACUUGCAUAUUUUUAUAUACUUGAUUGUAGUGUAGAUAGAAUUUUAUAUUCUGUUUUACUCUUAUCAUUUUUUUAUUUUUCUCAUAUUUCUACCCCAUUUCAAUACUGAGUCUUUGCUUGAUGUAUCAGUUUCCAUCAAACAAAUUUAUUACAAUGUAUCCAGCCACUUUUGAAAUGAUUGUUGAAAUUGAAAUGUUUAUAUUUUUUGCUAUAGCUUUUCUUUUUUCCCUUUUUGAGAGUAUUUUCUUAGUUACCCAUUUGUAAUUUAUCCUAUCUAUAGUUAGUAGCCAAGAAAAAGGUGACUUUAUUGAGAAUUUAGGAGCUGAAAAAGUAGUGAGGGACUGGGGAUAUAGCUCAGUUGGUAGAGUGCUUGCCUCAUAUGCCCAAGGCCCAGGGUUCAAUCCCCAGCACCACCAAAAAAAAAAAAAAAAAAGUAUUGAGAAAACACCAUGAGACAGUAGAAUGAAGCUUAAGACUUGAGGUGUCACUUUUUAAGUUCUACACUUUUUAAUGAUAUGUAGAACAUUUAUGAUAAAGAUUAUGGGCUAUACCGUGGACCAAGACCCUGAGAAUAGCUUCCAGUUUUGUAGGGGAUAUUUGAUAAACAUAAAGCUAAAUGUAAUAAGCAUUCAAAUAAAUUUGCAAGCUAGUAUAAGAACUCAAAGAAGACUUUACUUCCUACUUGCUGAUAGGAAUGGAGAAGACUUCAUGGAGAAAGUAGUAUCUAAACUGGUUCUUAAUGAAUGGAUAAGAUUUAGGAAGGCAGAGAUGAGAGAGGAAAGACAUUACCAAAGGCAUGGAGAUGGGGAAUGUGAAGAAUGUUUGACUAUUAGUCUAGUUAGGGCCAGAUUAUGGUAAUGCCUUUUAUCAUACUAAGUAUCUGGGGUUUAUUUUAUAACCACUAGGAAAUCAGUGAGCUUUUUAUAGCAAAACACUGCUUUAUGUUGCUCUUGUUGCUUUGUGUUGGUCAUGGUUUUUCACUGUUCUCUCCUUUCCCUUUUCAUUACCUCCUACAAUCUAGGGUGAGGCAAUAUAUAUAUAUAUAUAUAUAGAGAGAGAGAGAGAGAGAGAGAGAGAGAGAGCCUGAAAACAUGGGCCUUACUCUCCAGUAACAAAUUAUGUAGUAUGGAGAAAAUGAAUAUGCAGAAUGCCCAUAUGCUCCCUGUAUUUGUAUUAUUGUUCAUACUGUAAUGACCAGCAAGAACAAUUAAAGUUUAGAAGAGAGGGAGAGAGAGAUUGUUCUCAGGGGGUUAGGGAAAACAUGAUUUUCAAGCUCCUUUUGACCCCUCUCUUAUGUCAAGUGCCUUUACGUUAUGUACAAUGAUUAUUUAUAAACCCAUAUACUCAUCUUGUACUCACUAUGCCCACUUGCAUGCCCCUCAGCAAAUAAUCUUGUUUCAUGUUACAUGUAGACAUGAGAGGCUAAGAAGCCUGAAUCCAUUUCUUCUAUCAUCUCUCUCUUCCCUCCCCAGCAAACUUGUUUUAAUCUCUUACCUCUUCUUUUUUUUUUUUUUCUCUUUGUUUGCGGGGCAGUGGGGGCAGUGCUGGGGAUUGAACCCAGGGCUUUGUGCAUGCGAGGCUAACACUCUACCAACUGAGCUAUAUCCCCAGCCAUCUUACCUCUUCUUAAUGUCGUUCAUCACUGAUCAUUUAGGUAUUUUUUAUUUGUUUUGUUUUCUAACACAGGGGAUUGAACCCAGGGCACUUAACCACUGAACCACAUCCCCAGCCCUUUUUAUUUUUUUAUUUCAAGACAGGGUCUUGCUGAGCCUGAUUUUGAACUUGUGAUCCUCCUUCCUCAGACUCCUAAGCCGCUGGGAUUACAGGCAUGCACCACCGCUCUAAGCCCAUUUAGUAUUUUUUUUUCCCCAUCCAGAGUAGUGUGGUAUAUUUUAAAGAACACUUGCUUUUUAAGAAAGACCUGGAUUUCAAUUUUUGUCUUUGUAGCUAGCUAGCUAUGGGACAUUGUACAAAAUUCUUCAUGCCUUUACCUCAGAUGCCUUCCUUUGUAGAGGGAAGAUAAUCCAGCCACCUUACAAGACCUGUGUUAAAAUAAUUAACAAUUAAAUGAUGGUGUGCAUACCGGGUAUAGUACACAGUAGGGCUUCUUUCUUCUCCAGAACUUUGUUCAGUUAUCUUAAUUUCAAGGCUCCUUCCCUUCAGUUUAUAAAAGUGCUAGGUCACUUUCUGGCAGUCUGUUCCAAUUAUAGCCAAGCCUUUUUCUUUUCCUUCCCUCCCUCCCUCCCUUCCUCCUCCUCCUCCUCCUCCUCCUCCUCCUCCUCCUUCUCCUUCUCCUUCUCCUCCUUUUUUUUUUUGUGUGUGUGCACGCACAUGCACACAUGUAGUGCUGGGGAUCAAAACCCAGGGCCUCAUGCAUCAAGCGUUUUGAGAAAAGAAACCAUACCAGCUGUCUAUGUCUUUACUUCUUGUUCAACCUGAGACCUGUUGUAGUCUGAGUUUUGUUAUCACUAAGGUCCUUACCGCCUAAUUGACAAAUGAGGUAGACCCUAGUUAAUAUUCCUCUGGCAAAAGUAGUGAGGGAAUUUCUAGAAUUAAAAAAUUGAAGAUUGAGGGAAAAAACUGAUAUAAGGAAUGUGUUGAUAUUAAAGAUGAAUAUUAUCAAGUAGUAGUAAUAUCCAAUUCAUUUAGCAUGACUGGUUAUGUUCAACCAGAUGAGGAUGGUUCUGUGACAUACUCCAUUUACUUGCUGGAUUCAAAGAAUUGAGAAAUCAAAAGUUAUUCAUGAUUGGGUGUGGUAGAAAAAUAGUGGGUUGGGAGAUUUAAUGUGUUAGUAAUCAUAAGACUGGGUAGAAAAUAUAUUUCUACUAAAUGUUGGUAGAAGACAAACUUUCUAUAUUUUUCAGCUACAGAUAAGAAUGUGGCAGGGUGAGGCAAGAUGGGAUGGGUGUUUGAAUUCUUUUCAUAGACCUGCCAUCAGUUUGAAUAGUGGAAUAUUGGGUAUAGUUUGUUUAAGAACUUUAAUCUCCUUGCAUCUGCUGGCUUUUCUAACAUAGGCUCAAGUUUAGACCUAAAUAAGUUGAAUUCUUGUCCUGGGUGGGUUUUUAUUUUCAUGGUUUUGUUAAAAAAAAAAAACUCAAACCCAGCAGGCAGUUAUUGCAACUAAUUUGACACAACUCUAUAAAUAAACUAUGACCUUAUGAGUCUUAAUAUAAGUUUAGGCUUGAUUUUAUUUUACAGGUUUGAUUGAACUUUUGUUACUAUAUGCUAACACAGAUUCUCUGUUAUAACGUUAAAGAGUGUAGAUUCUAGAACCCAAAUACCUGGGUUUACACCAGCUUCAUCACUUAUUAGCUCUGACCUUGGGCAAAUCACUUGAUCCCCAUAUGCCUUAGUUCCCUCAUUUGUACAUUGAUCACAAUAGGAACAUAAUCUCAUAAGGUUGUUGUAAAGAUUGAAAUUUAUAAAGUGAUAAGAACAUUGCCUGAUACGAACUAAGUACUAUAUAAAUUAUUAGCUAUUAAUAUGUUUUUAUAAAUAGCUUCAUAUUUAAAAAAAUGCUUUUUAACCUUUCAUUAGAUAAUUGAAAGUAUUAUUGAGGAAAGUCAGAAAGUACAUCUUGAAGAUGACUCUUUGGAUUCCAAUGGAAAAGGACUCUCUGAUCAGGCUACUGCCAGUCCUGUUGUAUCUGGAACAGAUCUUAGUAAUGUACCUGGACUGUUAGGCAUAGAUCAAGUACUACAGGAAGAUUCCACAAAGGCAGAGAGUCAGAGUGCAUUUGAGGAAACUGAAUUAGAAUCAAAACAAUGUUUUCCAUCUGAUGAUACCUGUGAGAAGUCAGUAGACGAAACCAUAAAAUUAAAUGAAAUAAGUUCAACUGAGCAACAGAAUGUGCCUGAAAUGGAAAUAGAAGUAUUGAACAAGGAAGCAAUGGAAGUAAAACAAAGUGAUGUUGUAGAUCCUGCAUCCUCAAACUCUUCAUCUACUAAAGAUUUUGCUGCUGUGGAAGAAGUGGCUCCCGCCAAACCCCCAAGGCACCUUACUCCAGAACCUGAUAUAGUAGCUAGUACAAAGAAGCCUGUUCCAGCACGCCCACCCCCUCCAACUAAUUUCCCACCUCCUAGACCCCCACCUCCAUCUCGACCUGCUCCACCACCAAGAAAAAAGAAAAGUGAAUUGGAAUUUGAGGCUCUAAAAACACCGGAUCUAGAUGGCAAGUAUUAAUUGAAAAGUAACUGUUUUAAUGGGGAGAAUUGGGAGUUGAAACUGUUUUGUUUAACUUUCUGCUUUUGCUUCAGUUCAUGAUUUUUAAAACCAGUAAAACCACACUAAUGACCACAUUAUAAAAAUUAUUUAUUUAUUACUAGAUAAAAAAUUUUCAUUGGUGAUGUUACUAUUAUUGAACAUUUCAUCUAACCUCAAACUUUCACAUCUAUUACCAGCUGAGAAAUAAUGUGUCAUGGUGAAGUGAACAUGGGAUAUAGAAACUUAAGGUCUAAAUUUGAAUACUUCACUCCUUACUGUAUGAACUGAAUAAUCUUGAGGAAGUUAAAUAACUUGGUUGAACCAUGGUUUCUUCAUAUAAAAAAUGAGAGUAAUAAAACAACUUUCCUCAUAAGCUUGUUUUAGGAACCAAAUAAGUGCCGGGCGCAGUGGCACAUGCCUGUAAUCCCAGUGGCUUGGGAGGUUGAGGCAGGAGGAUCGAAAGUUCAAAGCCAGCCUCAGCAACUUAGUGAGGCCCUAAGCAACUUAGUGAGACUGCGUCUCAAAAUAAAAAUUAAAAAGGUCUGGGGAUGUGGCUCAGUGGUUAAGCACCCCAGGGUUCAUUUCUCAGUACUAAAAAAAAAAAAAAAAAGAAUCAAAUAAAAGUUAAAGCACUUUUAAGAUAUGUUUAAGGGCCUAUAUAAAUGUUAGUUGUUAUUAUUUUUAUCGUUGCAGUACCCAAAGAGAAUAUUACGUCUGAUUCUCUCCUAACUACAACAAUGACUUCAGAAAGUACAGUCAGGGAUUCUCAGCCUUCUCUUGAUUUGGCAAGUGCUACCAGUGGAGAUAAAAUAGUUACUGCCCAGGUUGGUGAAUUAGUGUUAUAUUUGAUAUAGGCAUUAUCAGACUUUCUGCAAUUGGAUAAUUUGUUAAUUGUUAAACCCUCUUUCUC